ensembl:snoRNA SNORD13 small nucleolar RNA U13
AUCCUUUCGGAGUUCAUAAGCGUGAUGAUUGGGUGUUCACGCUGCUGUGUGAGAUGUGCCGCCCAUGAACCUUGUUACGCUUCCGGCACAUGACCCGUCUGACG